UUUCCGUUGGUGAACCAGCGGAGGGAUCAUUACAGGACUCGCAAGACUCCUUCACCCUGUGAACCUCACUACAAGCACGUUGCUUCGGCGGGUGUCCCGGCGGGGGUUUUCCCUCGCCGGGGCGCACAGCCCGCCGGCAGCCUACUAUACUCUGUCUCUUUGCGUUGGCAUCUCGAGAAAAAACAAACAAAUUAAGACUUUCAACAACGGAUCUCUUGGUUCUG
rnacentral:misc_RNA from 1 species